GGGCGCGCCCGGGCACGGCGGUGCUGGCGGGGCGCGGGCGGGGCAGCGCACAGGCCGGCCCUCUCGCGGGACUCAGUUUCCCCGUCUGCGCGCCCCACAUAUUCGCUUUCCGCAGGUUCUCUCGCUGAGAUUCGCGUCCUUCAAACUAAUGGAACUUUGCAAGGGGGCCCUGCGGCGGCUUCGCGUGGGAGCGCCGGGGAAAGUUCCUGCAAAUCGCCGGACUGGGGGCCCGCCCGGGAAGCUCGGACUGGGCCGGGCAGGGACUGCAGGGGCCUCUGCGCAGACCCGGGGCGUUGCGGCACCGCGGACCCCGGUCACGCGCUGGUUCUGCCCCCGGUACCCCGCACGCGGGACCCUGACCGCGGGGCCUCUGCGGCCGGACGAAGGCAGCGUCCGCGGAGCUGGCAGAAAGCCCGCGCCCAGACCCACAGUGAAGUGAUAAAAGCAGAGAGCAGAAGUAAUUCGAAUAGAAUCCUUCACACGUCUGAUUCUUUUAAAAAGUUGUUGUGGGUGGCAUGCGUGUCCGUAUUCGCAGAGAGCCUAGGAAGCGGCUCGGCAGCUCGUAACUGGCGAGGGUGGAGCGGUCUCAGAUGGGAAAGGGGUUUUCCCCUCUUUUGAUUUUUCACCAAGUGCGUGAUUAUUUCAAAACACUUGUUAUCAAAAAUUUGAUUUCCCACUGGAGAAUCUUUGGUGCAUCCGUUGGGACAGAUGCGAGUCCGAGAGUCAUCAGGAGGGCUGAGGGCGACCCUGGAGGUGGGUCUGGGUGCCCAGGCAGCACCAGGCCUGUGGGCAGUAGUCCUGGGUCCACACUGAGCAGAUGGGCACAGCUCGUGUCCAAGGACCUGAGAGGAGGCCCUUCGUCCAGCCCUCAUCCCGAACCCUCAAACCUCCACCCCCACCCUGGGCAGAGGCACCCAGGGUUGGGUGAGCCGGCAGAGCUGACUUUGGGAUAGAGUAGCAUGGGAGGGGGCUGGGGGCUUGGGGAUUUUAAUAUUCUUCUGUAUUUGGGUUGUUCCCUUGUGCACACGUUAUUUUUCCAAUACAAAUAGUUUAAAAAGUAAACUCCAAAUACCUAUAAGCCCCCUCAAAGCACCUUCCAAAUAUGAACCUUGUUAAUGCCCAAGGUCCAGAGGGGUCCCCCAGAAAGGCCCAGGAGCCUGGGGCAUGGGAAAGCUGUCGGGGUCCCCAUGCUGACUCCCUGGACUCCAAGCGAUAUUCCAUAAAGCCAGGGCCUCCUGGCUGCGGGAGGGAGGCCUUGACCCAAAAUCCAUUCGGCCCUGGAUACUGGAGAGGCAGAGGCCUCUGCUGAUGAGAAGCCCUGAGUUCCUGGCUAGCUGUGGUUAACCACAAAAAAUGCGGGGGGUGAUGAUUUUCGAAGUCCAUCGGCAAAGAAAGACUCCCCACUGCAGUCCUGGGGCAGAUGGAAUUAAAAGGACACGUGGUGGUGAAUAAAUUGGUGAUAACUUAUUUUUGUCGAAUUUCCUUAUUUUACAGAGGAGAAAACUGAGGGCCAGAAAGGGUGACUCCCCUGAGUGUCAUGCCACAAGUUGAGUGCUGGAGCCAGGACACCUUCCAAACCGGCUGUGCCUGCCUGCAAGCCCCAUCCUCCUCCAUCCCCCUGAGCAGCCAGACUGCAGAGGGAAUGAGCGGACCGAAAACAGUGUGGCCGCAACUUCCCCACUGCUUUGCGGGAGGUGGAGGGAGUUUCUAGGCUCUUUCCCUGUUGGGGAAUUAAGUAGCUGGGGAUCCCACUGAGUCUCCACCACCCUCUCACCCAUUUUCCACCCCUCCCCCACCACAUAUACAUUCUGCUCCCCCAGUGCCAAAUAACUUGCAUUUUCUGGAACACACCUGUCUGCUUACGGUCUCUGUGCCUUUCUUUGCCCACAUCUCCCCUCUUCUUGAAACACCCCUCCUCCCCUCCAGCGUGGGCUCAUGUGACCUAGAGAAGCACGUGGGAGCCCUGUCAUCUGGGGGACUUGGGUUCAAAUCCCACUUCUGGUCCUUAAGUCUGUGACUCUGGGCCUUUGUUUAAUAACUGGAGGAGUUUCAUUAGGAAAAUGGCAGUGACCACAUAUGUCCCUGGAGUGACUGAUGUGCCACCCACAAGCUUCUAUUUGGUCAGUGCUGGGUCCCAUCGUCCCAUCUAGCAUGCUCCUCUUCCAUCCUCGUGCCCCCACUCAGUGCCAUUGUCUCUGCCUCUCACCCUCUGUGCUGCUAUUCCUGCCCUCAUCACCUCCUCCCUAGGGCAGAGGCCCCGUCUUCUUUACCAUGCCCCAGUGCCAGCACAGUGCUUUGGCAAGUUAUUCAGCACUGGGGGAGUAGAGUGUAUGUGUGGUGGGGGAGGGGGUGGAGAAUGGGUAAGAGGGUGAUGGAGACUCAGGGGGACCCCCAGCUACUUAAUACCCCUGAGGAAGUGUCGGCCGAAGUGGACCCACUCCUGUGACAGUUCACAGCCUAGAAGAGGCGUCUGUAACCACGGUGACCAGCACCGGUUAUGAAGAAGACAAGCAGCUCUACAGAGGGGCCUCAAGAAAUCCUUCGAAACAGAAAUCAAAGUCUUGCUGGAAGGGUUCUGGGCACCCUGGACUGUCCACAUGGGAGGCUGUUGGUGCGUGUGCCUACGUGUGUCCAUCAGUGGAUGCACGAAGAAGGAAAUGAAUUGAUUCCAUUCUUGAUGUGACUUUCAGCUGUCAGCUGUCUGCACUCCCAGACGGGGUGAUGGCCUGGCACCAACGGAGCAUUACCCUGAUGAAUCAUGGUCGAGGUACUUUUCCACUGGGCCAGCCGCCACAGCCCCUUCUCCAUCCUUCGGAGAGCUCUGUCACCUCGCCUUGUAGCACUUGUGUCUCUCCCACUGGCCUCCACUUCUUGUGGGCACUUUCUGGAUGCCCAGGCCUAAUCCAGCGCUGGCACUCAGUUAAUUCUCUCUUCCUUUAAAGGGAACAAUUACCACCUUGAGGAAGGAGGCCUGAAAGCUAAGUCUUUGCUAUUGCAUCCGCCUUCUUCUCACGAAGACCUGCAGCUUGAAAGGAGGGGAGGGAGAAAUAGCCCUAAGCUCCAGGAAGACCAAGCCCAGCCUCUGUGAUGAUUCCGAGGAAAUUCAGGAAAUCCUUGCUAAUGGCCAAACUUCCCGGGUUUGAGAUGCAAAAGGAAAUCAGAUCGCAGGGUAAUGCUUUUACACUAAGCAAGAAAUUGCAGGAUAUAAAGCUGUGCAGACCAUUGCCUCUGAUUAAGAAAGCGAUUCUGAGAUUCCAGCCUGGAAGGAACCGGGCCCCAGUGUUAACUGUGGUUAAUUCUGGGUGGAGGGGUGAUGGGUGAUAAUUUCUCCUUUUUCUUUUCUGUACUAACCAUUAAUACUGGGGGGAUGGGCAGUUAAAAAUCAAAGGAAGAAAACAUAAAGAAAGCCAAAUCCUUUUCCAUCUGUAGCCAUUCAAGCUACUGCCUGGACACGCUCUCCUUGAAGCUGGGGCUCCUCUCUCAGCCCCACCUAACAUGGCCCACCUCCUUCCUGGGGUCACUCCGUGUUCCUCAAGCACUUCAAACUCAUCCUCUCCUGCCUCUGAGCUGAGCAUAUGGGCCUCUCCCCUUCCUUUAAAAGCUCCAUCCGUGACUGCCUUCUGGGGGUCAGCCACAUAGCUGAGUGAGGACCACAUGCUUCACACCAAAUGAUACAAGAAGCUUGUUCCAAAUCUAUGUGGGUUUUUUGACAUUUUAGAGAGCAGAUGCUUUCCCAUGCUUUCUAAUUCCCUAUUACAUCUAUACAUCUCUUUUAAAAGAUCCUGCAAGUCCUUUUAGUGUCUGGACACAGGUUAUUCCCUCCCUUUCUUUUUUCCCAAUUUCACCUGCCCCAGUCCUCCUGGUCAGUGCUUCUGUUUCCUGCACAAGGAAACAGCCUUGCAAACAUGGUGAACCCUGAAAGCAUGCUGGAAAUGAAAGAAGCCAGGUACAAAAGACAACAUACUAUAUGAUUUCAUUCACAAGAAAUGUGUGUAACAGAAAAAUUUACAGAGACAGAAAAUAAAUUCCUAGUUGCUUAGGGCUGGGAGAGUGGGGUGAGGCCUCUCUACAGAGAUGGCAAUGCCCAGGAUUCAAUCUGAAGAUGUUGUUUAGAUAUCACAGCAUAGUCGGACAAUAGUGAGGACAGUCUGGCAUUGGCGUACAGAUGAACAAAUAGAUUUGUGCAAUAGAAGAAGCCAAACCAGAUUCCAGCCUACCUCCAGUCACCUGAUUUAACAAAGUCAAAGUCACAAAUCAAUAGGGAGAGGAUGGUCUUUUCAGUAAAUGAUACCGUAUCAAUUGACUCGUCAUAUACAGAACAAAAUGAACUUUGGUCCCAUACACACACAAGUCAUAAAAGUUCACUCAAAGUGAAUGAUAGACCUACAUUUGAAAACAAAAGCAAUGCAGGAUCCAGGAGAAAGGGUCCAGGCAGGAGAAUAUUUUUAUGACCUUGGACUAAGCAAGAGAUUCAUAAACAGGACACAAAACCACUAACCACCAAAAAAAAGGACUGAUAAACAUGACAAUUAAAAUGAAGAAUUUAUGUUUAUCAAAAACAAAAAGGGGAACCAUCGACUGGGAGAACAUAGUUACAACACUUGUAUCCAACUGAGAAUUUAUAUUCAGGUUAGAAGACUCAAAAACAAAAAGGCAAGCAAUCCACUAAGAACAAAUUCUGGGCAGAAGACUUCACAAAAGAUCUGCAAAUGACCAAUGACAUCAGGUAAACAUGGAUUGAAACAACAAGAAGACACACCCACAAGAUCCGUGACAAUUUUGAAAAUGAAACCCUGAGGCAGGCAGAAUUCUAAGGUCAUGUCCCAGAUUCCCCCUCUUGGUGUCCGAGCCCUGCACAGUCCACUUGAGUAGGGGCCAGACCUGUGGAUAUGAUGGAUGUCUCUUCUGUGAUCAGGUUACAUCAUAUGCCAAAGAUGGAGGGAUUUUGUGAUUAAGUCUCUAAUCAGUUUACCUUCAAGUUCAUCAAAAGCGAGAGUGGCCUAGGUUGGCCUGGCUUACUCAGGUGAGGCCUUUAAAAGAGAGCUCAAGCCUGCCCUGAGCUUGGAGAGAUUUUCCUGCUAGCCUUGAAGAAACAAACAGCUGUGAGUUCUGCAGCUUCACAGAAAUGAAUUUGGCCGACAAUCAUGUGAGCUCCAUUAGAAAUGCACCCUAAGCUCUCUCAACCUCUCCCAUCCCCCACAGCACCUAUUUACUGAUUAUCUGUACAUGAUAGCAGGGCAGGAACUAGACUCUCAGCCCCCUGAGGACAGACCUUGUCUGUCAGUGCAUUUCACUGUCUGUCCCAGCACCUUGCACAGAGCCUGGCACAUAUCAAGAACACGGCACAUUUUUAUUGAGACAGACUCCUCAAAGCUGGAAUCUAAAACCAAUGGCACCUAAUCUCAGCCAAAAAGGUUAAUGUGACACCUGUGCUUUUAUUACCCAUUUCUGCAGAUGGAAGGGUUGGUUGUUUGUGGCUAUCUCAAGUGAAAUGCAGAAUUAGUGAAUAAAAUUUUCAUCUGAAUUUAAAGAAAAUC
rnacentral:lncRNA from 1 species